rnacentral:lncRNA from 1 species
GUAUAAAAAAUAGUAAUUCAAACUGGAACACUGUCAUUGCUGCACUUAUGUAUUCAAAAUGCAACCAUAGUACUGCCAUUAACACUCAUGUUCUUUACUGAGUUGGUGUGAAAACUCUACCGCAAAUCAUCUGUGAGAUAACAGAGCAACAAUUAUGUCCCCAUUUUACAGAUAAAGACAUUCAAGACCAUAGAAGAAUAGCAGCUGUAUUAGAUGAUUCCAGAGAACACCAUUCAUAUCGUAGCCAUCAAGUGACUUACUUAAGACACUAACAGCGCUGGAAUAAUAGGACUGAAUCUUGGUAAAGCUUUAGCACAAGAACAUGGGCAUUACAGUCAGACGGGCAUUUAUAAGCUGAAUAACCUUGGUCGUCAUGUUUGUCAUCACUAUCAUCGUGUAUUUUCCUUGUGCCUCAGUUUCCUAAUCAGCAAAAUGGAAUAACAGUAAUUGUUUCACACAUUUGUUGGGAGGAUUAAUGAGGUAUGUAUGCAAAGCACUUAGCACAAAGUAUUUAAUAAAUAGUUCCAGUUACAUAAAUAAUAUUAUUUAGAACCCAUGAAUUUGGAUUUCUAGAUUAGAACUCCUAAUACAUUAUGCUUCUCAUGCUUUUAACAUCUAAUAAUUCCAUAUAGAUAUAUCUGUUAAACAGAUAUGUAUGAACAUAUGCAGACACACUCUUUCACACACAUGUACACACACAAAUAGUAAACUUAAAUUCACAUGUAUGUUACUUUUAUAAAAAAAUUAAGAGAGUUUGCUUAGUUGGUAUUUGCAUAGUAACCAUGGUUAAAGAAUUAAAAAUUUGCUGUUGCAGUAGCUUAAAUAUUAUUUCAGUUCUUGGAGUGGCUAAUUGUAGGUUAUGUAAGUUCCUAUGAUUAAAUUGCAUCAAAAACAAAAUAUGUAAUGAAUGCCUGAAUUAGUAUGUUGAGAACAUUUCUUUUCAGGAAUAUGUGACAAUGAGUUUUAGCUUUGAUUAGAAAACUUCUUCAAGUUGAAUGUACCUAAGCUAAAGAUAGUUAAUGAUAAUAAAAUUAAUUGUAAAAGUUAACUUCCAAUAGGGGGAAAAAAAAAGAAUAAUUCUAGGAGCAGGGGGAAAGAGGAAGUUUCAUCUUUUAAAUGUGGCUCUUAGCUUUGGUAAUGUGAUUUUUCAAUGGAUGAUCUCUUUCAAAGGAAGUUCAAUCAGAUGAAAAAGCACCAAAGAUGUACAUGAUUACAAAGUAUCAGCAGCCUAAUCCAUCAAAGUGUGUUUGGGAUAUUUCUAAUACGCCCAUAAAUAAAUUCUUUCCAGAUUUUGCACACUCUUCCUACUCACUGAAGGGCAGAACAUGUGUCAUUCAUUUGAUUUUCCUUUAUGCAUAUCUUCCUUCGCUCAGCCAACAUGUAUUUAUUGAGGAAAUACUAAUAACAACACGCACCCCUUGCUGAAACAGCUAUGUUCUUGCAGGUCAGGUGCGGUGCUCACCUCUGUCAUCCCAGCACUUUGGGAGGCAGAUGUGGGAGGGUAGCUUAAGCCCAGGAAUUCGAGACCACACUGGGCAGCACAGUGAAACCCUGUCUCUACAAAAAAAAAAAAAAAAAAAA